rnacentral:rRNA from 1 species
UGCGCAGGCGGAACGAUCAGUCAGUGGUGAAAUCCCAGGGCUCAACCCUGGAACUGCCAUUGAUACUGCCGUUCUUGAGUACAGUUGAAGUGGGCGGAAUGUGUCAUGUAGCGGUGAAAUGCUUAGAUAUGACACAGAACACCGAUCGCGAAGGCAGCUCACUAAGCUGAAACUGACGCUCAGGCACGAAAGCGUGGGGAGCAAACAGGAUUAGAUACCCUGGUAGUCC